AGGCGGAGGGAGAAGCAGGCUCCUCACGGAGAGCCUGAUGCAGGACUCAAUCCCCAGACCCCGGGAUCACACCCUGAGCUGAAGGCAGAUGCCCAACCGCAGAGCCACCCAGGCGUCCUUUGUUGAGGAUUUCUGUGUCUAUGAGGUCUGUGGCCUAGCAGUGGUUUAUCCUCAAGAAUGUUCCAUAUGCAUUUGAGAAGAAUGUAUAUUCUUGGAUGAAGUGUUCUGUAAAUGUCUGAACAAACAAUGGCAAGGAGAUGCUGAAGAAUCAUUUCAUCGUUCAACUUAUUUGCCACUCCACUUAUUUCUGAGUAUAAACUGGAGUAGACAAAAGGAGGACCCUAUAAUGGACUAUCAAAGGAAUAAGUUGAAAGAUGUCAUUUAUUAGUCACUCAUUCAUCCAACCAAACCCAAGUGUCUACAAUGUACCAGAUCAAGUUCAAGAUCUCAGAUCAUUGCUCCAAAAAUUAAAAUUUACCAUUCUUUUUUUUUCUAUCCUUUGCUCCAAGCUCCACCUGUACAAUGUUCCCACAUUAGAAUUUCACACUUACAGAGUCUUGGUAGGAGGCAGACCCCACUCCCCUCUGUAAGAGAAGAAAACUCACUUUGCCAAACAUUCCUGCAAUCUGACAGAGCAUGAGGUUCCAGCACUCAGGUGACCACAUGCCAGCCUCUAACUCAGGACGUGGUGACUGGCUGGGAUAGUGCAGAAUGCAUUUGGCACAGAUGGUAUGAAUUGCAAAGUGUCAUUCAGUUGCCAGGAGCAGCAGAGACAGCAAUCUUUACCCCAAGAUCCAGUGUCCUGCGUCACUGGAGUCAGUGUUGUGGACAAUGGCAUUUGUGCUCAGCUGCUCAGCAGCAGGGGCAGUGGUUUCU